GACGAACGCUGGCGGCGUGCCUAAUACAUGCAAGUUGAGCGCUGAAGGUUGGUACUUGUCCCAACUGGAUGAGCAGCGAACGGGUGAGUAACGCGUGGGGAAUCUGCCUUUGAGCGGGGGACAACAUUUGGAAACGAGUGCUAAUACCGCAUAAAAACUUUAAACACAAGUUUUAAGUUUGAAAGAUGCAAUUGCAUCACUCAAAGAUGAUCCCGCGUUGUAUUAGCUAGUUGGUGAGGUAAAGGCUCACCAAGGCGAUGAUACAUAGCCGACCUGAGAGGGUGAUCGGCCACAUUGGGACUGAGACACGGCCCAAACGCCUACGGGAGGCAGCAGUAGGGAAUCUUCGGCAAUGGACGAAAGUCUGACCGAGCAACGCCGCGUGAGUGAAGAAGGUUUUCGGAUCGUAAAACUCUGUUGGUAGAGAAGAACGUUGGUGAGAGUGGAAAGCUCAUCAAGUGACGGUAACUACCCAGAAAGGGACGGCUAACUACGUG
rnacentral:rRNA from 1 species